rnacentral:rRNA from 1 species
UACGUAGGUGACCAGCGUUGUCCGGAUUUACUGGGCGUAAAGAGCGCGCAGGCGGUCGUUCAAGUCGAGUGUGAAAGCCCCCGGCUCAACUGGGGAGGGUCAUUCGAUACUGAUCGACUUGAAGUCAGGAGAGGGAAGUGGAAUUCCCGGUGUAGUGGUGAAAUGCGUAGAUAUCGGGAGGAACACCAGUGGCGAAGGCGACUUCCUGGCCUGUUCUUGACGCUGAGGCGCGAAAGCUAGGGGAGCAAACGGG